rnacentral:rRNA from 1 species
GACGAACGCUGGCGGCGUGCCUAAUACAUGCAAGUCGAGCGAAUUUACGAGAGCUUGCUCUCGUAAAUUAGCGGCGGACGGGUGAGUAACACGUGGGCAACCUGCCUAUAAGACUGGGAUAACUUCGGGAAACCGGAGCUAAUACCGGAUAAUUCACAUCUACUCAUGUAGAUGUGCUGAAAGACGGUUUACGCUGUCACUUAUAGAUGGGCCCGCGGCGCAUUAGCUAGUUGGUGAGGUAACGGCUCACCAAGGCCACGAUGCGUAGCCGACCUGAGAGGGUGAUCGGCCACACUGGGACUGAGACACGGCCCAGACUCCUACGGGAGGCAGCAGUAGGGAAUCUUCCGCAAUGGACGAAAGUCUGACGGAGCAACGCCGCGUGAGUGAUGAAGGUUUUC